GGAACUUGCGGCUUGGGAGGGGACACCCACUGCAUGGCUUCUGGAAAGAGCCGGACUCGCAGGGCCAGGACGCAGGCCGGACCCCGGCCUCAUUCUUCGGCCAGUUAUCCCGGAGUGGCGCGCAUCCUGUCUUCCUGGGCCUCGGACUGCUCGCGCGCAGAGGGGGCCCGAGGACACCUCUGUGGGGUUAGAGGACUCGGUAAGACGGUGUGGAAGGCAAGGAGGAAGGUCGCGUUGUAUUGGGGAUGGGGUACCCGUCCCUCCCAGCUUGAGGGAUCCUGGGGGUCCUCGCCGCCUCUGAGGGCCUAGAUGGCUGCUUCCCUCGGCUCCCCUGCCCGGCCUGGAGCUACGGGUGCGCCCAGCUAGAGUUUAGGGCCACCUGGGGACGUGCAAGGGGCGCUGGAGCGAGGCGGGGGCUGGGGCGGGGCGUGGGUGCUUCACCCGCGGGGGACGCAGAGCUUAGGCGAAAGCGGUGCAGGCAUCUCUCUAAUCGCCGGCCGCUAUUAAAAAUAAAACCGCGACCCGUCGCCAUGGCGACCACAACAACAGCGGCCGCGCGAGGGAGGCGAAAACUUGUGCAGCCGCGCGACAGCCGCCUUCUGGGGAGACUCGGGGCACGACGCACCCGGCGUGGGACUGGGACCCCCCUGCCCGGCCCCGCCACAUUCUCCGCCGGAUCCCCGGAAGACACAAGGAGACGUGGACCCCCACAGGCUUUUUUGGGGGGAUUGGGCGUUGAAACCGCAGGGCUGACUUAACCAAGAGGUCACCGACUUGGAUAAAAAACCCACGCCCGCGCGGACCCCCCUCCCCGGCCUUCGUUUCCAUUCAAACUCCCAGCGUCCUCAUUGCAGCCCCUGGGGAGGGGGACGGAGGGACGAGGUGGGUUUCAGGUGCUCGGCCCAGGAGGGGACGGUGCGACCCGGGCCCCGCCGGCGGGUUUUGCGCGCGGAGGCUGCGGCACCUGCCCCGCCCGCCCUGCCGCGAUCCUUGCAGACGGGGGCGGUCACAUGCUUCUUUCUGGCCAGGAAUCGAGUUUCACUUCCAGCCGCUAUUAGUCGGUUCACACAGUUCACUGCAAACAUUUGAUAAUGAGGCUAAAUAUACUCCCGCGUCGGAGGAGGCGUGGGCGUCCCCGCCCAGGCCCGGGAGACAGAGGCGCUGACCCCGGGACAGAGCCUGGCUUUGUGCGGGAGGCAGACGCGCCCCGCGCGCCGCCCCCGAAACAUUCGCACCCCAUGCUGAGGCGCGCGUCUGGGAGUCCGUGGGCGCCCCGAGAAAUGAAGUUGAAAAUAGCACAGGAGCCCACUAUCACUGUGUGAACAUUUUGUGAAUGAAGACAUGUAUGAAAGGAUGUUUGGAGGCUUCAAGAAACGAAAGCCGAGAGUCUAGCUAGACCAGAGCCAUCCAGCCCAGGAGCGAUGGCCACGUGUGGCCGCUGGACACGAGAGACGUGGCCAGUCCAAACUGUGCAGUGCGGUAAGGGCAGAACACAUGCCAGCUUUCGAAGGCUUAGUAAAGAAUGCAAAAUUUCUCAAUUGGGAAUUUUUGUAUGAAUUUCAGGUUGAAAAAAACAUUUUGGAUAUAUGGUGUUAAAUAAACAUGAUUACAAUGACUUUCGCUGUCAGCCUCCCGGAGGCUCAUUUUGCUCCUCUGGGCCACAGCCAGCUCAGAGGGUUGCUCUAGGAAAUAUCUACACGUUCUUGAAGCACAGGUUUAUGUGCCAGGCACUGUACUAAGUGCUGGGGACACGGCGUUAAGACCAGGCCCUCACGGAGCCCUCACUCUCUGAGGAGGAACAAUAAGUCAGAGAGCGCGCGAGUGCAGCCCUUCAGGCAAAGGAUUUCAGGCCCAGGUCAGGAAGGCCUUGUCUGAGGAGUCUGAGAAGAAGUCAAUUGACAACAGCUAGAACAUCUAGGUCAGGCACUCCAGGCCGACACGACAAAGCAGGUGCAAAGGCCCCAGGGCGGGAACCAGCGUGGCUUGUUCACAGAACAAGGAGGUAGAUCGCUUGCCCUUGGGACCAAAGGAAGGCUCUGGAUUUUAUUCUAGGGGCAGUGGAAGCCGUUGGAGGGCCUCAGGCAGGAACACAAGGUGUCGUGGCAGAAAGGAAGAAGGGGCCGGGCACGGUGGCCCACACCCGUCAUCCCAGCACUUUGGGAGGGAGGCCAAGGCAGGAGGAUCGCUUCAAUCCAGGAGUUCAAGAUCAGCCUGGGCAACACAGCAAGACCCCGUCUCUACUAAAACCCUAAAACUUAGCCAGGCUUGGUGGCAUGUGCCUAAGGUCCCAGGUCCUCGGGAGACUAAGGCAGGAGGAUUGCUUAAGCCCAAGAGUUUGAGGCUGCAGUGAACUAUUAUCACACCACUGCACUCAGCCUGGGUGACAGAGUGACUCUGUCUCAAAACUAAAUAAAUAAACAAUAAUUGUGUU
rnacentral:lncRNA from 1 species